ensembl:snoRNA U3 Small nucleolar RNA U3
AAGACUAUACUUUCAGGGAUCAUUUCUAUAGUUUGUUCAUAAGAACUAAUAAAAAUAUUGAAAACAAACCAAUGAAAGGUACCAGAAGUAUGGU